UUAGUUCGUGGAGUGAUCUGUCUGCUUAAUUGCGUUUCAAAUUUUUAACCGAGGACCGGGUUUUGGUUUGGCUAGUGGUCCUACGAUGACUGUGAACUGUCAUGUCUUCGGAUGUACGACUAUCGGUCUAGGAUCACAUGACUUGCCCCUGGGACUCUUUUGAACGCAACGGACGUGAUUGCAACCCCUUGUUGAGAUUAGAGAUAGUCUCGAUAUUCACUGGCCAAACUGGCUGCUUUAUGCAGUCUUGUUGAAUGGUGGAUAAACUCGGGGGACUGCUGACUAUAACCAUUUCUCAAAACAGAGGAAGGUUGCGGCAAUAACAGGUCUGUGAUGCCCUCAGAUGUCCCGGGCUGCACACGUGCUACAAUGAGUGGCGCAAUGUGCUAAUGUUUUAAGGGAUAAGCGUGCGGCCAGUAGAACGUCGGCAAUUGCCCUGGCGUCUUCUACCGCACGAUUAUCAGCCUUCCCUUAACAGGGCGGGCAACCUUUUCAAAAUACCGGUUUGAUGUUAAAGUAUAGAGUCGUUUUUUUUGGAUGGUGGUUUACGAACCAAUACCAUCCGCAACUGCUCGCGAGUUUGUGGUUCUGGUGACUCAUGG
rnacentral:rRNA from 1 species